rnacentral:rRNA from 1 species
GACGACGCGUGGCGGCGUGGAUUAGGCAUGCAAGUCGAACGGUAUCAUCCUUCGGGGGUGAGAGAGUGGCGAACUGGUGAGUAACACGUAGGUUAUCUACCCUCAAGACGGGGACAACCCAGGGAAACUUGGGCUAAUACCGGAUGUGAGCAACUUUUAGUUGUUUGAAAGGUGGCGUAAGCUGUCGCUUGGGGAUGAGCCUGCGUCCUAUUAGUUAGUUGGUGAGGUAACGGCUCACCUAGGCAAUGAUAGGUAGGCGGCCUUAACGGGUGGUCGCCCACACUGGGAUUGAGAUACGGCCCAGACUCCUACGGGAGGCAGCAGUCGAGAAUAGUCUACAAUGGUCGGAAGACUGAUAGUGCGACGCCGCGUGAACGAUGAAUCCCUUCGGGGUGUAAAGUUCUUUUAUAUGUGAGCAGUGCUUCUUAUAUUAACAGUAUGGGGAGAGAGAUAUUAGCAUAUGAAUAAGCAACGGCUAACUCCGUG